ACAGUUGGCCAGUCUACCGCUGAUACAUAAGUAGAAGAGGAAAGUCCGGGCAACACAGAGCAUCCUACUUCCUAACAGAAAGCUAUCAGUGAUGGUAGAGUCGUGUAGAAGAAAACAACCGCUUCGUUUUAUUCCCGGUUUGCCGUGAAUACUGCAAAGUAAGGGUGAGAAGGUGAGGUAAGAGCUUACCAGCCGUGUGGCGACAUAUCGGGCUGUACAUCUUAGGAGUUGUAAGGUCAUGUAUACCGGCGUCAAUGAGGGCUGCUCGUCCCAUGCCGGAGGGUAGACCGCUUGAGCCUGAUGGUGACAUCGGGUGUAGAUAAAUGGUAGAUGCUUCUUUCGGGAAGACACAGAACCCGGCUUAUCGGCCAACUGUUUUU
rfam:Bacteroidetes bacterium oral taxon 272 str. F0290 ctg120009420988, whole genome shotgun sequence.